UACAGAGGGGGCAAGCGUUAUUCGGAAUUAUUGGGCGUAAAGGGCGCGUAGGCGGCCUGGCAAGUGGAAGGUGAAAUCCCUCGGCUUAACCGAGGAACUGCCCUCCAAACUGCCGUGCUUGAGUGUGGGAGAGGCUCGUGGAAUUGCAGGUGUAGCGGUGAAAUGCGUAGAUAUUCGGAGGAACACCAGUGGCGAAAGCGAACUUUCUGGGGCGUUCCUGACGCUGAGGUUCGAAAGCUCGGGGAGCAAACAGG
rnacentral:rRNA from 1 species